GGAUGCGAUCAUACCAGCACUAAAGCACCGGAUCCCAUCAGAACUCCGAAGUUAAGCGUGCUUGGGCGAGAGUAGUACUAGGAUGGUUGACCUCCUGGGAAGUCCUCAGUUGCAUUCC
rnacentral:rRNA from 1 species